GAUGAACGCUGGCGGCGUGCCUAAUACAUGCAAGUCGAGCGAACAGACGAGGAGCUUGCUCCUCUGACGUUAGCGGCGGACGGGUGAGUAACACGUGGAUAAUCUACCUAUAAGACUGGGAUAACUUCGGGAAACCGGAGCUAAUACCGGAUAAUAUAUUGAACCGCAUGGUUCAAUAGUGAAAGACGGUUUUGCUGUCACUUAUAGAUGGAUCCGCGCCGCAUUAGCUAGUUGGUAAGGUAACGGCUUACCAAGGCAACGAUGCGUAGCCGACCUGAGAGGGUGAUCGGCCACACUGGAACUGAGACACGGUCCAGACUCCUACGGGAGGCAGCAGUAGGGAAUCUUCCGCAAUGGGCGAAAGCUUGACGGAGCAACGCCGCGUGAGUGAUGAAGGUCUUCGGAUCGUAAAACUCUGUUAUUAGGGAAGAACAAAUGUGUAAGUAACUAUGCACGUCUUGACGGUACCUAAUCAGAAAGCCACGGCUAACUACGUG
rnacentral:rRNA from 1 species